rnacentral:rRNA from 1 species
GACGUAGGGCGCGAGCGUUGUCCGGAUUUAUUGGGCGUAAAGAGCUCGUAGGCGGCUUGUCGCGUCGAAUGUGAAAUCUCGGGGCUCAACUCCGAGCUUGCAUUCGAUACGGGCAGGCUAGAGUUCGGUAGGGGAGACUGGAAUUCCUGGUGUAGCGGUGAAAUGCGCAGAUAUCAGGAGGAACACCGGUGGCGAAGGCGGGUCUCUGGGCCGAAACUGACGCUGAGGAGCGAAAGUGUGGGGAGCGAACAGG